rnacentral:rRNA from 1 species
UGGAGGUUGUGCCCUUGAGGCGUGGCUUCCGGAGCUAACGCGUUAAGUCGACCGCCUGGGGAGUACGGCCGCAAGGUUAAAACUCAAAUGAAUUGACGGGGGCCCGCACAAGCGGUGGAGCAUGUGGUUUAAUUCGAUGCAACGCGAAGAACCUUACCUGGUCUUGACAUCCACAGAACUUUCCAGAGAUGGAUUGGUGCCUUCGGGAACUGUGAGACAGGUGCUGCAUGGCUGUCGUCAGCUCGUGUUGUGAAAUGUUGGGUUAAGUCCCGCAACGAGCGCAACCCUUAUCCUUUGUUGCCAGCGGUCCGGCCGGGAACUCAAAGGAGACUGCCAGUGAUAAACUGGAGGAAGGUGGGGAUGACGUCAAGUCAUCAUGGCCCUUACGACCAGGGCUACACACGUGCUACAAUGGCGCAUACAAAGAGAAGCGACCUCGCGAGAGCAAGCGGACCUCAUAAAGUGCGUCGUAGUCCGGAUUGGAGUCUGCAACUCGACUCCAUGAAGUCGGAAUCGCUAGUAAUCGUGGAUCAGAAUGCCACGGUGAAUACGUUCCCGGGCCUUGUACACACCGCCCGUCACACCAUGGGAGUGGGUUGCAAAAGAAGUAGGUAGCUUAACCUUCGGGAGGGCGCUUACCACUUUGUGAUUCAUGACUGGGGUGAAGUCGUAACAAGGUAACCGUAGGGGAACCUGCGGUUGGAUCACCUCCUUACCUUAAAGAAGC